CUUCUGGCAGGCAAACGUACUAAAGAGUUACAGGUGGUGCAGAUACGGUUUGGAAGGAAUCCCAGCUGGGCCUCCUCCCAGAAGCCUUCUGAUCACUCACCAGAUAACUCUAGCUGCUUGCAGAGUCCUGGGAAUCUUAGCUUCUCCAGGAAACCAGCUUCAAGGGCAACAAGAGGUUCUGAGGAGCUAGAAUAAUCUCGGAAGCUGAAACUGCUUUGUCCUUUUGCUUCCUUAGGUUGGAAAUAUUUUUGCAAUACCACUGAAUCCUCCAGUUUUUACCCCUUACGAUGGGAAGUGAAUACAGUAUGAAAAGGGAGUGGGACAUAUGAGAGGAACGACAGGCUCAAAAUAUGAAGACUUAAUCCAGACACCUCUGUGUCUCUGAACUUGCGUUGUUUCUUCUUUGGAGGUGAAGUACACAUCGUUUUACUCCGGGCAGAGGACUUGUGCUCCUUUUGAGAACUUUCAGCUCUGUAGUGUCGAGUCUUCUGGUUUCCAGAUCCACAUCCUGCCCUGGGGGAAUUGACAUCCAUCAGAUGAAAAUACUGAGACCCAGACUGAUGAGGUACCUUGCUGUAGGUCCUGCUAUUACUUCUUCUAGGAAAGCACUCUGAAGCCAAGUUGAAACAUUAUACUCUCAGGCAGUAGUAGAGAUCAACCUCUUAAAACCAAAUCCAUGGGCCCAGGAGUAUGGAAAAGAGUUCAAUAAAAUGGCCUUAACUGGUAUAAGAAGUUACAAUUGUUAAAAGGAGAUUCAGCUGUGAUAGCAAAAGAGAAAGAAAAUGAAAAAGUUGUCCUGGCUCAUCUCUGGAAAGACAUGAUAUUUCAUAACCUCAAGGUGUUUGCUUCUGACCUAUAACUUCAAUUAUAGACCAGGUUAUCCAAAAGUUCUCCUUAUUAACAAGAAUUAUCAGUCUGAUACGUGGUAAGUAAGUGGUUUCUAGGUAUUUAAUAUGCCUUUUCCUGAUAACUAAUUUGCCAGAUAGAUUUUCCAAAAAUGGUUGCAACAAUAUCUCCCAUCCCUGAUUCUCUUCUUAAAUAUGACUUUGACAACUUUUCUAUCAAGAGGUAGGGUCUAUAUCCCCUUCCCUUGAAACUAAGAGGGUCUGUGGUUAAGGCAGAACUGACACUCAGUGACUUUUGAGCUAAGUCAUAAAAGAUGAUACAACUUAUGGCUGGUUCUGACUCAAUCUUGGAACCCAGCCAUCAUGUUGUGAAGAAUCUCAGGACAUUUACAGAGGCUUCAUAGGUUUCUGGCAGACAGCUCCAGCUUACAACAGCAUCAACCAACAGACUUGUGAGUGAAGAUGGCUCCUGAAGGUAUCAGCCCCCCGCUGUCCAGUCACCUCCCAGCUUUUGAGUCUUUCCAGCCGAGACCCCAGACACCAAGGCACAGAGACAAACGUCUGCAUUGUAACCUGUCCAAAAUUCUGACCCACAGAGUUCUUGGCAUAAUAUAAUGAUUGUUUUAUGUCACUAAAGUUUGGAGUGGCUUGUCACAUUGCAAUAAAAAAUUGCAACAACGAAGGAGGUUGAUUAUCUUUUCAUGCUUAUUGAUCAUUUGCAUUUCUUCUGUGUACUGUCUAUUCACAAAUUUUGCCUGUUUGACUCUUGGGUUAUUUGUCUUGCUCAUAUUUUCUGCAUAUUAAUCCUACUUUUGUUACCUAUAUUGCAAAUGUAUUCAACCAGUUGCUUGCUAGGUAAUAGAGAAAUUUGAGUUUUAUGUAUCCGUUCAUUGUUUUCAUUUUUUAGUCUUGGGGUUUUGUAUCUUUUUUUUUUUUUUUUUUUUUUUUUUUGAGACGACGGAGUCUCUCUCUGUCACCCAGGCUGGAGUGCAGUGGCGUGAUCUCCGCUCACUGCAAGCUCUGCCUCCCGGGUUCAUGCUGUUUUCCUGCCUCAGCCUCCCAAAUAGCUGGGACCACAGGCGCCCGCCACCAUGCCCAGCUAAUUUUUUUUUUUUUUGUAUUUUUUAGUAGAGACGGGGUUUCACUGUGUUAGCCAGGAUGGUCUCGAUCUCCUGACCUCGUGAUCCGCCAGCCUCGGCCUCCCGAAGUGCUGGGAUUACAGGCGUGAGCCACUGUGCCCGGCCGGUUUUGUGUCUUUUUUAGAAAAAGGCUUUCCCAUUUGAAGAAUAUAAAAAUAUCCUAUACUUUCUUCUAGCACUUUUAUACCUUUUCUUAUUCAUCAUAAGAUCAGUCUCUGACUCUAUCUUGAAUUUAUUAUUUUACAUGGUAUGGGACAGUGAAAAUCUAACUCUUUUUAGAUGGAUAGUCAGUUGUCUCUGUACCAUUUAUUUAAAUCAUCCAUUCUUUUUCCAUUGAUUUGAAAUGCCUCCUUUAUGAACUAAAUUCUUAAAUAAAUAUAUGUCUAUUUCUAGACUGUCUAUUCUGAACCAUUAAACUGUUUGAUCAUUACUACAAAAGUGCCAUUUUAUUUUAAUUUAUAUAGCUUUUUGAUAUGUUCUGAUAUCCAGUAGAACGCAUAGUAUAGUCUAAUUUUUCUUCCCCCAGAAAUAUCUUUGCAGAUUUUAAGAAUUUCGUCUUUCAGAUAAAUUUCAGAAUAAACUCGCCAAGUGCCUUGCUUGGCACUUAAGUCACAGCCUUGCUUUGACUUAAUAAAUUAAUGUGUAGCAAACUGACAUAUUUAUUAUGUCUUCUUGUAUAUUAACAUGGUAUAUUUCCCCAU
rnacentral:lncRNA from 1 species